GACGAACGCUGGCGGUGUGCUUAACACAUGCAAGUCGAACGGUAAGGCCCUUUCGGGGGUACACGAGUGGCGAACGGGUGCGUAACACGUGAGUAACCUGCCCUCAUCUCUGGGAUAACAGUCGGAAACGGUUGCUAAUACUGGAUAUGAGCUUGCAAGGCAUCUUGUGGGUUGGAAAGAUUUUUUUUGGUUGGGGAUGGACUCGCGGCCUAUCAGCUUGUUGGUGAGGUAGUGGCUCACCAAGGCUUCGACGGGUAGCCGGCCUGAGAGGGCGACCGGCCACAUUGGGGCUGAGAUACGGCCCAAACUCCUACGGGAGGCAGCAGUGGGGAAUAUUGCACAAUGGACGGAAGUCUGAUGCAGCAACGCCGCGUGCGGGAUGACGGCCUUCGGGUUGUAAACCGCUUUCAAUUGUGACGAAGCUUUUUUGUGACGGUAGCAGUAGAAGAAGCACCGGCUAACUACGUG
rnacentral:rRNA from 1 species